rnacentral:rRNA from 1 species
CCUACGGGUGGCUGCAGUGGGGAAUAUUGCACAAUGGGGGGAACCCUGAUGCAGCGACGCCGCGUGAGUGAAGAAUUAUUUAGGUAUGUAAAGCUCUUUCAGCCGGGAAGAAGAAAGACGGUACCUGACCAAGAAGCCCCGGCUAACAACGUGCCAGCAGCCGCGGUUAUACGGAGGGGGCAAGCGUUAACCGGAUUUACUGGGUGGAAAGGGAGCGUGGACGGCAGGGCAAUGCUGGAGUGAAAGGCAGGGGCCCAACCCCUGGACAGCUCGGGAAACUGUCGGGCUGGAGUGCAGGAGAGGUAAGUGGAAUGCCUGGUGUAGCGGUGAAAUGCGGAGAUAUUAGGAGGAACACCAGUGGCGAAGGCGGCUUACUGGACUGUAACUGACGUUGAGGCUCGAAAGCGUGGGGAGCAAACAGGAGUAGAUACCCCAGUAGUC